GAUGAACGCUGGCGGCGUGCCUAAUACAUGCAAGUCGAGCGAACGGACGAGAAGCUUGCUUCUCUGAUGUUAGCGGCGGACGGGUGAGUAACACGUGGAUAACCUACCUAUAAGACUGGGAUAACUUCGGGAAACCGUAGCUAAUACCGGAUCAUAUUUUGAACCGCAUGGUUCAAAAGUGAAAGACGGUCUUGCUGUCACUUAUAGAUGGAUCCGCGCUGCAUUAGCUAGUUGGUAAGGUAACGGCUUACCAAGGCAACGAUGCAUAGCCGACCUGAGAGGGUGAUCGGCCACACUGGAACUGAGACACGGUCCAGACUCCUACGGGAGGCAGCAGUAGGGAAUCUUCCGCAAUGGGCGAAAGCCUGACGGAGCAACGCCGCGUGAGUGAUGAAGGUCUUCGGAUCGUAAAACUCUGUUAUUAGGGAAGAACAUCUGUGUAAGUAACUGUGCACAUCUUGACGGUACCUAAUCAAAAAGCCACGGCUAACUACGUG
rnacentral:rRNA from 1 species